GGUUUGCAUAGUUUAAUGGUAAAAUCAAUACCUUGCACGUAUUAGAUAUCAGUUCGAUUCUGAUUGCGUCCA
rnacentral:tRNA from 1 species